GGAGACUUCCAAGACGAUGUAGUACCAGGAUCCCUCAAAACACGAGCAGCCUUCCGGAUUUGAGUAAGCUCCUUUUUCAAGUGGAGUUUACUAGGAUCAGAAACUCGAACUUCCGCCAUUAUCAACUCAGUACGUUGAACUCAAAGCACCGAUUAGCUACAGAACGAACUCGGAAGCAUUUACAAUGGCAUGAUCACACCCAC
rnacentral:misc_RNA from 1 species